UUUGGUCGCCGUUCGGGAACUCNGAGACAGGUGCUGCAUGGCUGUCGUCAGCUCGUGUUGUGAAAUGUUGGGUUAAGUCCCGNAACGAGCGCAACCCUUAUCCUUUGUUGCCAGCGGUUCGGCCGGGAACUCAAAGGAGACUGCCGGUGAUAAACCGGAGGAAGGUGGGGAUGACGUCAAGUCAUCAUGGCCCUUACGGCCAGGGCUACACACGUGCUACAAUGGCGCAUACAAAGAGAAGCGACCUCGCGAGAGCAAGCGGACCUCAUAAAGUGCGUCGUAGUCCGGAUUGGAGUCUGCAACUCGACUCCAUGAAGUCGGAAUCGCUAGUAAUCGUAGAUCAGAAUGCUACGGUGAAUACGUUCCCGGGCCUUGUACACACCGCCCGUCACACCAUGGGAGUGGGUUGCAAAAGAAGUAGGUAGCUUAACCUUCGGGAGGGCGCUUACCACUUUGUGAUUCAUGACUGGGGUGAAGUCGUAACAAGGUAGGCGUAGCGAG
rnacentral:rRNA from 1 species